GGUGAGACAACACCACCUCCCAGGUGGAGAUAAGUCCCCUCCUCCUGGCUCCCACAGGGGUCCAGCAGUGGAGGAUGCUGGGAAGUUUGGCCUCAGGUUCCAAUCCCAGCUGCCGGGCCUGGACUCUUCAAUCUCUGUGACCACAGAUAGGGAGAUUGGGGCAGCUGGACCCCAAAGGAAUUGCUGGCUUCAGGAUGCCAAUGAUAAAGGCUUCGUGCCUCAGUUUCCUCAUCUGUGCGGUAGAAGUGAGUGUCCAUCCUCAUGACUGCUGCAGGAAUGGAAGAGUUCUUCUCAUGAACGUUGGAAUAAUAUCUUGAAGCCUUGGAUUCAAACUACAGAAAAUAUUUUUGCUGCAGCCAAUUGCUGGGGUGUUACCAUUCUAGGAACACCACAAUUCAACACCAAGACUUGCUAUUUCCUGGUGCCUGCAUGCCACACCUCUUGAUUUAGGACCGGAAUUCAUUAGCACCUGCUUUGUUCUCUCUCUGCGCAUCUUCAAGGGCUCGGAUGAUUCUCUAGUUGCGUGAGGUGCCGCUGGCCCAUGAGACAUCGGGGGACGUGUGCCUCUCUGUUUCUACUCUCAACACUUUACUCCUGACACGUUUGGCCAUCAGAUGUGUGGUGGUUUUUCCUACACCAAGCAAUUCUGUGACACCAGAUCUUGAGGUCCCCAUUCUGACCUGCCCCAGUGGGAUGCUCUGAGGUUAAAACCUGCCUGCUGAAAUGUUGGCUCAAGACUGCUGUGAGCCUCCGCCCCCGCCCCCGGAGCACGUCCAACAACAGAGGAGUGCGAACCGCCGGAGCCUGCCACAGUGAGAGAUGCACCUGAAGCCUCGCGUAUAAUCUUUAAUUCAUGCGGACUUUGCAGCUGACUGCCUGACUGUAACAGGUCAUUAGAAUAUAAAAGGUUUACACUAACUUACCAUCUGGAAAGAAUACAGAGAACUUCCAUAGCUGCCCUAUUGAUUAAUGCAUGGGAUGCAUUUGCAAUGACUCUAGCUAUGUUUUAGUAUUGGGCUGAAUUGAAAAAGAGAUCUCAUUG